rnacentral:rRNA from 1 species
CUUAACACAUGCAAGUCGAGGGGCAGCAUGGUCUUAGCUUGCUAAGGCCGAUGGCGACCGGCGCACGGGUGAGUAACACGUAUCCAACCUGCCGUCUACUCUUGGACAGCCUUCUGAAAGGAAGAUUAAUACAAGAUGGCAUCAUGAGUCCGCAUGUUCACAUGAUUAAAGGUAUUCCGGUAGACGAUGGGGAUGCGUUCCAUUAGAUAGUAGGCGGGGUAACGGCCCACCUAGUCUUCGAUGGAUAGGGGUUCUGAGAGGAAGGUCCCCCACAUUGGAACUGAGACACGGUCCAAACUCCUACGGGAGGCAGCAGUGAGGAAUAUUGGUCAAUGGGCGAGAGCCUGAACCAGCCAAGUAGCGUGAAGGAUGACUGCCCUAUGGGUUGUAAACUUCUUUUAUAAAGGAAUAAAGUCGGGUAUGGAUACCCGUUUGCAUGUACUUUAUGAAUAAGGAUCGGCUAACUCCGUGCCAGCAGCCGCGGUAAUACGGAGGAUCCGAGCGUUAUCCGGAUUUAUUGGGUUUAAAGGGAGCGUAGAUGGAUGUUUAAGUCAGUUGUGAAAGUUUGCGGCUCAACCGUAAAAUUGCAGUUGAUACUGGAUAUCUUGAGUGCAGUUGAGGCAGGCGGAAUUCGUGGUGUAGCGGUGAAAUGCUUAGAUAUCACGAAGAACUCCGAUUGCGAAGGCAGCCUGCUAAGCUGCAACUGACAUUGAGGCUCGAAAGUGUAGGUAUCAAACAGGAUUAGAUACCCUGGUAGUCCACACGGUAAACGAUGAAUACUCGCUGUUUGCGAUAUACAGCAAGCGGCCAAGCGAAAGCGUUAAGUAUUCCACCUGGGGAGUACGCCGGCAACGGUGAAACUCAAAGGAAUUGACGGGGGCCCGCACAAGCGGAGGAACAUGUGGUUUAAUUCGAUGAUACGCGAGGAACCUUACCCGGGCUUAAAUUGCAGAUGAAUUACGGUGAAAGCCGUAAGCCGCAAGGCAUCUGUGAAGGUGCUGCAUGGUUGUCGUCAGCUCGUGCCGUGAGGUGUCGGCUUAAGUGCCAUAACGAGCGCAACCCUUGUUGUCAGUUACUAACAGGUUCCGCUGAGGACUCUGACAAGACUGCCAUCGUAAGAUGUGAGGAAGGUGGGGAUGACGUCAAAUCAGCACGGCCCUUACGUCCGGGGCUACACACGUGUUACAAUGGGGGGUACAGAGGGCCGCUACCACGCGAGUGGAUGCCAAUCCCCAAAACCUCUCUCAGUUCGGACUGGAGUCUGCAACCCGACUCCACGAAGCUGGAUUCGCUAGUAAUCGCGCAUCAGCCACGGCGCGGUGAAUACGUUCCCGGGCCUUGUACACACCGCCCGUCAAGCCAUGGGAGCCGGGGGUACCUGAAGUGCGUAACCGCGAGGAGCGCCCUAGGGUAAAACUGGUGACUGGGGCUAA